ensembl:lncRNA
AUCUCCCUUUAGUUAGGGGUAUCUCCCUUUAGUUAUUAGUAUAUCCCUUUAGUUAGAGGUAUCUCCCUUUAGUUAGGGGUAUCUCCCUUUAGUUAGGGGUAUCUCCCUUUAGUUAUUAGUAUAUCCCUUUAGUUAGGGGUAUCUCCCUUUAGUUAGGGGUAUCUCCCUUUAGUUAGGGGUAUCUCCCUUUAGUUAUUAGUAUAUCCCUUUAGUUAGAGGUAUCUCCCUUUAGUUAGGAGUAUCUCCCUUUAGUUAGGCAUAUCUCCCUUUAGUUAGGGGUAUCUCCCUUUAGUUAGGAGUAUCUCCCUUUAGUUAGGCAUAUCUCCCUUUAGUUAGGCGUACCCCUCUUUAGUUAGAGGUAUCUCCCUUUAUUAAACAAUGUGCUUUUCAAAUAGAGGUUUUUCCUGGCUGUCCUAAACCAAACUCAC